GACGAACGCUGGCGGCGUGCCUAAUACAUGCAAGUCGACCUUAGUGGCGGACGGGUGAGUAAUGCCUAGGAAUCUGCCUGGUAGCGGGGGAUCACGUUCGGUAACGGGCGCUAACAUCGCACACUACCAGAUGAGCCUAGUUCGGUUUAGCUUUUUGGUGGGGUAAAGGCCGACCAAUGCGACGAUACGGCACUGGUCUGAGAUGAUGAUCAGUAACACUGGAAGUGAGACACGGUCCAUACUCCUACGGGAGGCAGCAGUGGGGAAUAUUGGAGAAUGGGCGAAAGCCUGCUCCAGCCAUGCCGCGUGUGUGAAGAAGGGCUUCGGAUUGUAAAGCACUUUAAGUUGGGAGGCGUUACCAACAGAAUAAGCACCGGCUAACUUCGUGCCAGCAGCCGCGGUAAUUC
rnacentral:rRNA from 1 species